AGGGCACCACCAGGAGUGGAGCCUGCGGCUUAAUUUGACUCAACACGGGAAAACUCACCCGGCCCGGACACUGGAAGGAUUGACAGAUUGAGAGCUCUUUCUUGAUUCAGUGGGUGGUGGUGCAUGGCCGUUCUUAGUUGGUGGAGCGAUUUGUCUGGUUAAUUCCGAUAACGAACGAGACUCUAGCCUACUAAAUAGACUGCGGGGUCGUAAGCCCCCGCAAGACUUCUUAGAGGGACAGGCGGUGAGUAAGCCGCACGAGAGAGAGCAAUAACAGGUCUGUGAUGCCCUUAGAUGUCCGGGGCCGCACGCGCGCUACACUGAAGUGAUCAGCGUGCAUUUGUUCUCGCUCCGGGAGGAGCGAGUGAACCAAGGAACCUUUCUCGUGGUAUGGAAUGGGCGAUGGUAUUAUUGCCCAUGAACGAAGAAUUUCCCGUAAGCGCGAGUCAUUAGCUUGCGUUGAAUACCUCCCUGCCCUUUGUACACACCCGGCCGUCCCUACUACCGAUUGAAUGAUAG
rnacentral:rRNA from 1 species